rnacentral:tRNA from 1 species
GAGGAUGUGGCUCAGUGGUAGUGCCCUCGCCUGGCAUGCGUGCGGCCUGGGUUCGAUCCUCAGCACCACA